rnacentral:lncRNA from 1 species
UUGCCUUAACAGAAGAGCAACUCUUGUUUUGUCUGGUGCUUGUUACAGCAAAGACAGGCUGAUGACUGCUUCCAGAAAUCUAGAAGAGCUGUCAGUGAAGCACAUGAAGGAAAUUAAAGACGUAGAAAACUAUGCAAACCAUGUCUGUGACUUACCAGAGGAAAAAGAAGCAUUUUCUCCUAGUUAUGAAAAGGAAAACAAACAGCCUAGACAUAAGUUUAAAGAGCUCCAACUCAAACCAGAAAUGCAAACAAAGGAGGUUGAAAUGUAUCAAGAAGGCUUGUCUACAGUGGCUCUGAGCAGCCCUGGUGAUCAGAUCACACACUUAAUCAUGGAAAGAAGUACACUGUUGAGGAAACUGGAACUUGGGAACCCCAAGCCAGAACCACAAAGAUGUCUGAGCCGUAACCUGCAGAAAGGCUUUCCCCAGGAGAAACUUGAACAAACCCACCAGCCUCUGCAAAAGGACCAUCAGAAACAUCAAGAACCUGUGCAUCAGUCUAAAAAAAGCCUGAGUGAGUCCCAUAAUGAAGAUCCAGAAAAAGAUAAAACACCACAAAACCGCAGAGAGAGAGAUUUGGAGGACGUAGCACGGAAGUUAGAGAUGGCCCAUGGAGAGAUCCGAAGGCUCACUGAUGAACUGCAAGGGAAGGAGAAGGUACAGAGCAAACUCGCUUCUGCAUUUGAGAAGGCUCAACUAGAAAUUGAGAAAUUGAAAGAAAAUUUGAUAAAGCUGAAAGAAAAUGACUCCGUUGACCUACGGAAAGCAAAGGAACAUAAUCAGAGACUGGAUGAGGAAAUUCUGGCUCUAAGAAGUCGGGUUCGAUCACUUGACUCGGAAAAAAAAGUACUUGGAGAAGAGGUUGAACGACUUAAAAGAGGAACGUGUGAAGCUCAAGGGAAUAAGCAUCUCGGAAACCACUCUCCCGGACAAACUGUGGGUGCUGAACAGAAAGUAGAGUAUCCAUCAUCUGGAGAAAAACCGAAAUACCAGCAGCAAGAGGAGGUACAACAGCUUCACCAGAAUUUGCACCGGCUCCAGACUCUAUGCAGCUCAGCAGAAAAAGAGCUUCGAUAUGAGCGAGGAAAGAACCUGGACUUGAAGCAACAUAAUAGCUUACUUCAGGAAGAAAGCAUUAAGAUCAAAAUUGAACUCAAGCAGGCCCAGGAAAAGUUGUUAGACAGCUCAAAGAUGUGCUGUUCACUCACGGCCGAGUGGAAGCACUGUCAGCAGAAAAUCAGGGAACUGGAGCUGGAAGUACUUAAACAGGCUCAGAGCAUUAAAUCACAGAACAACCUACAGGAAAUGCUGGCUCAGGAGAAAUCUAAAGUUGCUGAUGCAGAGGACAAGAUUUUAGAUCUGCAGCAGAAAUUAGAACAUGCUCAAAAAGUCAAUCUAACAGACACUUGUAUUUUGGAGAAGAAGCAAUUAGAGGAAAGGAUAAAAGAAGCAAUAGAAAAUGAAGCUAAAAUAAAGCAACAGUAUCAGGAAGAACAACAGAAGAGGAAACUCCUCGAUCAGAAUAUGAAUGAGCUACAGAAGCAAGUGAAAAUCUUACAGGAAAAAGAGAGUCUAUUGGAAAUGACCAGUUCUCAGCAACAAAUCAAACUUCAGCAACAAAAGGCCCAACUUAAAGAACUGGAAAAUGAAAAAAGAAAAUCUGAUGAGCAUCUCAAGAGCAACCAGGAAUUGUCAAAGAAGCUGUCUGUGUUGCAGCAGGAAAAGGAAGCUCUAUGUGAACAAAAUGAGCACCUUUUGAAACAGUUUGAUCUCCAUGUGAGAAACUAUCAUCAGAAACAUCAGUACUACAAAGUCAAGCUGCACGCAGUCAAGGAUCGUUUAGUUGAUGAAGUAGAACUCCGAGAUGAGAAAAUCAAACAACUUGAAAAUGAGGUUGGAGCCCUGCGGCAGCAAAUAGAAAAGGAGAAGGCAUUCCAGCACCAGAUCGCCACCCAAAAUGACACCCUGCUCCUAGAAAAAAGGAAACUUCUGGAGCAGGUCACAGAACAAGAAUUAUUAAUUGACAGCAACAAAUGGAGAAUGUCUUCUGUCCAAAACAGAGUACUUUUCCUGGAUGAAGAAAAUAAGCAGCUACAGAAAAACUGUCUCCGGCUCACCCAGGAGACUGGUCUCCUAGAGCAUAUCAUAAAGAGCAUCCAGAUCCACAGAGGGGAGGAAACAACAGUUUGUGACAUCCCUGAAUCUGAAGUAUUGAAUAAAAUCAUGUAUUUACCGAACUCCAGUUUUUCAGGAACAGGUUUGGUAGAGUCCGCUGGAAGUCUUCAAGAGACUGAAGAACAGAGGUUAGAAGAAACAGUGGCACACCCCAAGUCCCUCGAGUCCCUUUCGUGUUCACAGAAUUCUGAAGUUGGAAACAUAAAUGGGGCUUCCCCGAAAGAAACACAUCUCAUUCAAGAAUAA